UACGUAGGGUGCAAGCGUUAAUCGGAAUUACUGGGCGUAAAGCGUGCGCAGGCGGUUGUGAAAGACAGAUGUGAAAUCCCCGGGCUUAACCUGGGAACUGCAUUUGUGACUGCACGGCUAGAGUAUGGCAGAGGGGGAUGGAAUUCCGCGUGUAGCAGUGAAAUGCGUAGAUAUGCGGAGGAACACCAAUGGCGAAGGCAGUCCCCUGGGCCUGUACUGACGCUCAUGCACGAAAGCGUGGGGAGCAAACAGG
rnacentral:rRNA from 1 species